GAUCAUGGCUACAGAACGAACGCUGGCGGCAUGCCUAACACAUGCAAGUCGAACGAGACCUUCGGGUCUAGUGGCGCACGGGUGCGUAACACGUGGGAAUUUGCCUCGGGGUAUGGAAUAACUCAGGGAAACUUGAGCUAAUACCAUAUAAUGUCUUCGGACCAAAGAUUUAUCGCCCUGAGAUAAGCCCGCGUAGGAUUAGCUAGUUGGUGAGGUAAAGGCUCACCAAGGCGACGAUCCUUAGCUGGUCUGAGAGGAUGAUCAGCCACACUGGGACUGAGACACGGCCCAGACUCCUACGGGAGGCAGCAGUGGGGAAUAUUGGACAAUGGGCGAAAGCCUGAUCCAGCAAUGCCGCGUGAGUGAUGAAGGCCUUAGGGUUGUAAAGCUCUUUUACCCGAGAUGAUAAUGACAGUAUCGGGAGAAUAAGCUCCGGCUAACUCCGUG
rnacentral:rRNA from 1 species